rnacentral:rRNA from 1 species
GAAAGACGGUUUCGGCUGUCACUGUAGGAUGGGCCCGCGGCGCAUUAGCUAGUUGGUGGGGUAAUGGCCUACCAAGGCGACGAUGCGUAGCCGACCUGAGAGGGUGAUCGGCCACACUGGGACUGAGACACGGCCCAGACUCCUACGGGAGGCAGCAGUAGGGAAUCUUCCACAAUGGACGAAAGUCUGACCCAGCGACGCCGCGUGCGGGAUGAAGUUCUUCGGAAUGUAAACCGCUGUCAGGGGUUACCAAGCAAACGGGCCUAAUACGCUCGUGAGUUGAGGAGCCCCAGAGGAAGCCACGGCUAACUUCGUGCCAGCAGCCGCGGUAAGACGAAGGUGGCGAGCGUUAUUCGGAAUCACUGGGCUUAAAGAGCACGUAGGCGGGCCGUCUUGCGCUUUGUGAAAUCCCCCGGCUCAACCGGGGAAUUGCAGGGCGAACGGGCGGUCUUGAGGCAGGUAGAGGUGUGGGGAACUCUUGGUGGAGCGGUGGAAUGCGUAGAUAUCAAGAGGAACGCCGGAGACGAAGGUGCCGCACUGGGCCUGUCCUGACGCUGAGGUGCGAAAGCCAGGGGAGCAAACGGGAUUAGAUACCCUGGUAGUCCACGCUGUAAACGAUGAGCACUAGGUGUAGCGGGUACUCAUUCCUGCUGUGCCGCAGCUAACGCGUUAAGUGCUCCGCCUGGGGAUUACGGUCGCAAGACUAAAACUCAAAUGAAUUGACGG